rnacentral:rRNA from 1 species
UACGGAGGAUCCAAGCGUUAUCCGGAUUUAUUGGGUUUAAAGGGUGCGUAGGCGGAUUGAUAAGUUAGAGGUGAAAUGUCCGAGCUCAACUCGGGAACUGCCUCUAAUACUGUUGAUCUAGAGAGUAGAUGCGGUAGGCGGAAUGUAUGGUGUAGCGGUGAAAUGCUUAGAGAUCAUACAGAGCACCGAUUGCGAAGGCAGCUUACCAAUCUAUAUCUGACGUUGAGGCACGAAAGCGUGGGGAGCAAACAGG